GAUGAAGAACGCAGCGAAAUGCGAUAAGUAAUGUGAAUUGCAGAAUUCAGUGAAUCAUCGAAUCUUUGAACGCACAUUGCGCCCCCUGGCAUUCCGGGGGGCAUGCCUGUCCGAGCGUCAUUGCUGCCCUCAAGCACGGCUUGUGUGUUGGGCCUCCGUCCUCCUCCCGGGGGACGGGCCCGAAAGGCAGCGGCGGCACCGCGUCCGGUCCUCGAGCGUAUGGGGCUUCGUCACCCGCUCUUGUAGGCCCGGCCGGCGCUUGCCGACACAUCAAUCUUUUUUCCAGGUUGACCUCGGAUCAGGUAGGGAUACCCGCUGAACUUAAGCAUAUCAAUAAGCGGAGGA
rnacentral:misc_RNA from 1 species